ACGAACGCUGGCGGCGUGCCUCACACCUGCCAGUCGCGCGAAUGAAGUUCCUUCGGGAAUGGCUUUAGCGGCGGACGGGUGAGUAACACGUGGGCAACCUGCCUCAUAGAGGGGAAUAGCCUUCCGAAAGGGAGAUUAAUACCGCAUAAGAUUGUAGUAUCUCAUGAUACAGCAAUUAAAGGAGCAAUCCGCUAUGAGAUGGGCCCGCGGGGCAUUAGCUAGUUGGUGAGGUAACGGCUCACCAAGGCGACGAUGCGUAGCCGACCUGAGAGGGUGAUCGGAGACAUUGGGACUGAGACACGGCCGAGAAUCCUACGGGAGGCAGCAGUGGGGAAUAUUGCACAAUGGGGGAAACCCUGAUGCAGCAACGCCGCGUGAGUGAUGACGGCCUUAGGGUUGUAAAGCUCUGUCUUCAGGGACGAUAAUGACGGUACCUGAGGAGGAAGCCACGGCUAACUACGUG
rnacentral:rRNA from 1 species